GUAAGUGUGGUGUAGUGUCUGAGCAUUGGACUAGGACUCCUGAGAGCAGGGUUCAAAUCCCUGCUCAACCA